rnacentral:lncRNA from 1 species
GUCUCCUUCCCCUUCCGCAAACGUCGCUUCUGGCGGCUCGCUCUCCUCGACGGCGACCGAUGAUGAGCUCCCGUCUGCUUCCCCACCGUCUUGCUGAGACCAAUCCGAAGUCUCGGCAACUGAGGUGACGAAAGGCGACUUCUUUAGGUGGGUUUUGGUUUUGAGAGAGAGGGAGAAGCGGGAGAAUGAGAGCGGGAGGUUAGUGCGUUUGGUGAGGAGGGAGCAGCGAGUUCUGGAGGAAGAGAUAGUGGAGAAUGAAGGGUGAGAGAAGAUGGUGGAAGAGGAGGAUUCUGACAUGGCUAAUGGCCUCAAGCUCGAGGUUACUAUUGAAGAAGCCAUUGGAGAAUUGUGAGAGAAGAGAAGGAAGUGUUGAAAAAAGAAGAGGAAGGGAGGGUUUUAGAACGGUGAGGGAGAUAUGGAUAAGGAGGCCCAAGACAGCAAGAGAAGAAAUAAAAAUGUUAGAUAAACUGAACCAAAAAACUAUGUUUGGUAAAUUGAACCAAAACAAAAAAAAAAUUAUUUAAUGCAAACAAUAAUAAAUAUUUUAAGUUUUAACCAUAGUUUUUGUUUUUAUUAUUUGUUUCUUAAUUUGAGUUCUGUGGUUAUAUUUAUCGAUGAAAGUUUAUAAUAUACUGGUUAAGUCAAUGGUUUGAAUUGUUGACAAAAAAAAUGUCAAUGGUUUGAAUUUGAUUUGCAAGCAUAUUGAGUUUUGUGAUUUGAUAUGGCAUUACACUCGCCACUAAUAGUUCUUCUGUAUAAAAUAUUGUUGUUGUUUUCCUCCUUCUAAAACUCGGUGAAUGCAAUGUUAAAACACACAUUCUAUCUUGAAUGGCAUGUACUCAUUGUUUCUCAUGGUUUCGGACUUUGAGUAAGGAUUGGACGUUGAUACUUGCAUUAGCCUUCUAAUUAUAUCACUCAGCUUAUCAUAGUUGAAUAUGGAAAUGGAAAGAGACAUUUGGUUACCACUUAGCACUAUCGGAGACGUCCAUAUGAUUUUGGUGUGAAGCAACAAUUAUAUCAUAAAGAACAAUAUACUAAUUACAUACAAAGUUCUAAAGACAUAUAUAUGUCAGCAGUCCUGGUUUUUGACAAGUUCUCAGAAGUAUGUAAUUUGAUCUUCAUUGAAGUUGUAAACACUUUCAAAGUCUUGAUCCAUCUCAGAUACCUAUUAGUUACAACUGAAUUAACCGGCCCACGGGGACAGCACAAGCUCAACAAGAUUACCAUCAAAGUUUUCAAUAGGAGACAUGUGUUUGUAACCAAUGUGGAAAAUUCUCUAACUAGUUUAAUGUUAUAUAUGACGAAGAAAACAGGGGGAAACUAUCUUUAUAACUUUGUAACUUUAUAUUCGCAUAAUUUAUUAAGUACUGACUUGCCAAUUCGAACCUGCUACACAAUACCCACUGCAUCACAUCGUUCGCUGCAACCAGCAACAACAGAAUCUUUUAUAUUUCUUCUUUUCUUUCCUGAGUUAAUAUGUUGCAGAGCAGCACAUGUGACAUGACAUGGCCAAGAGUAGGGCAACCACUUUGCUUGCUAUUUAUGACAACACUGAGAUUUGACGACCCUCCUUUCUUACAUGGGAUAUACUGUAUUUUGAUUUAGUGGGUUAGAAAUCAAAUAAAACCAUUAUCGUUUUUUUUUUCUUGUAUUCAUAAUCAUUCCCUGGUGCAACGCCAACCUAGGCCUUAUACUUUCAUUCCUUCCGAAUGUUACAUAGGUGUGCAGUAUAUAUAACGUUGCAGGGUCUUUUCCAAACUUGGUUUAGUACCUAUGAAAACUUUUACUAGUUGUGAUGUCUUCCAUUCGUUACACAAAUUCAUAGGUUCUGUACAUACACAUUCUUUCAUUUGAUCAAUAAUUUGACAUUUCAUCAAAAAGAAUGUUACAUAGUUUCAGUAAAAAAAAAAAAAUAUAUAUAUAUAUAUAUAUAUAUAUAACUAACGACUUCUGAUGCAAUUAGCGUUUGCAUUCAUUUUUUAUUUGGAAUGUGUAAAACCACUUAUAUAUUUUUAGUAUAUUUUAUUCUAAAAUAGAAGAAAAAAUCUAUUAUAGAUAUAGAAUAAUAUUUUGUUUACCUUUUUCAGCAUUUUGUUUGCCUUUAUAUUUAGAAGUAAAAACAGUAUUCAUCUAUAUUUUUCUGAAAAAAAUAGAGAAACUUUAUUAUAUAAACAUACAUUAUAUUAAAUUCAUUUCUAUAGUGGAAUUUCUUUAUUUUAUAAAGAAAUAUAGAGAAAGAAUAGAAAUGUUUUAAUAAUAAGUAUUAAUAGUAAAUCGUAUUUGUUAUUAUAAAAUGUUGGUGAUGGAUCAUUGGAUCAAAAAUAAAUUAAUAAGGAGGGCAAAGAGACAAGUGUGAAGAUUAAUGGAUAUGUCUGGUCGAGAAGCUAAGAGCCAAGGUUGGGGAUAAGAGAGAGUGAAAGAAAGUUCCAAGACAUAGAUCAGGCCGAGAAAUGAAUCAUCAAUGUCGCUCUAUUCUCAUACACUCUGUUUCCUCUGUCCUUUGUCUUGAGUCUAUUAUUUCUUAUGAUGUUAAGCCUGUUACACAUGCAUGAAUAUAAUGGACCAUUUCUUUUUUUGUAUCCCGACAAGUGUUGCAAUUCCAUAUUCUGAUAAAAGCGACUUCACGAGCACGAUCAAGACUUUUUGCUUAUUCUUUACUAUCUUUUUAUUUUAGUUAGUGUUUAUCUUCUCAAAUCAAAAUAUGCCAUCAUGAUGAGUCGAAUCAAACCACAUUUGUUUCAGAAUAUUUUUUACGGCAUUUGCUAGCAAGUAGAUAUGAACUUAUAUGCCUAAGUUUCUUAAUAUGUUAAUAUACAUAUAUAGACAAUCAAGAUCUUAUCCGUAGAUAAAUGAACUUUUUCAUAGAACUUGAAAACACCUUUUCUCUAUGUUCUCGUGAUGUCUUAAUGUUAUAACUUUUUGUUUAACGACUCUUAAUGUUAUAACUUAGUUUAGAUACAUCUCACUUUCUCAAUUUCUAAUUAAGACUUGGCUCAUUUUAAAGAUAGUCAUAGCUCUUAGGUUAGCGUAUUUUUGACAGAUCGGCCGCUAAAUACUACCCUUACAUAACCAUGCAAGGCCAUAUUUAUAAAACCUAGAAAAUGGUAUCUGAAAGAUUUAAGAUUAAGAGUAAUUCUCUCACAAGUCUCAGAAAACUAGCUUGUUUUGCGAGUUCUUUUGCUCUCUCUCUAUGUUGACUAACCUAAAUCUUCUUCAAAUUCCUCUUCUUUUAUACUUUUGAGUUCUUUUCAUACUCAAAUCAUUUUUUUCGUCCAGCUGCUUCUUCUUUUCUUUUUUUUGAACACACGUCCAGCUGCUUCAAACUCUUAAUAUUCUUGGGCUUAUAGUAUUGAGGCCCUCCAAUUAGAAGACACAAAUUUUAGGCUCAUCAUAUACUGGACUUGAACAUUUCAUCUUCUUUUAACCUUUGAUGAAUAUAUUGCUCAACAAUCCUUCACCACAAUGUGAUAACAAACAAGAUAUACCCCAUGAAGCAAAGCCGAUGAUUUGGAAUCGUGAUCGUCAAAUAUCUAGACGUAUAACAAGAUCAUCUUCACUAUGAUUACAGCUUCACUUUAGCGUGUGGUUAACAAGAACCCAAUCCUCACCUGUCACUUCCUUUCACCUCUUUGAAAAACGAUAGAACAAGAUCCAUCUUACAUCAUUUAAGAGAAGGGAGUGCUUUGCUAUAGAAGCUUUCCACUAUUUGGCGCGUUUGUGGUGAGAGGCUCCUUGUUGCUAAUAUUUAAAACACUGACAAGGAAUAAUGACAGAGAAAUGUGGAUAGACCGUCAAGGAGAAAUAAUGAUACAAAAUUACAUUAGAACUUAGAAGAAGCUUCGCAUUCGGAACUCUGUCCCCAAAAAAAAAUCACCAAAGAGUGUAAAAAUCUCGUCUAAACAAAAUGCAAAGAGACAGAGGGCAGAGAGAGAUCUUUCUCAGUCCUUAAAAUCCACGCCUUGGACGCUCCUCCGCUACAUUCACUCUGAUCGCUCUACCCUCCAUGUUCUGCAAACAACAACAAGCCACAAAGGAAUUGAACAUCACAAAAUCAUGUAAGAACUGCAUUAGCAUAAUAUAGAAGAGGAACAUGAGGGGGGUACCUGUCCAUCAAGAGCAGCGAUGGCAUCAUUGAGUUCAGUCUCAUUAGACAUUGUCACAAAACCAAACCCACGUGAACGACCUGUCUCACGGUCAUAAACCACUCUAGCUUCCACAACUUUGCCAUGCUCACUGAACACUUGUUCUAGACGACCAUUGUCCACAUCCCACGGUAGGUUUCCAACGUAGACUCUGAAUGCAGGUUCAUAUACCCGAGGUUGACGUUCUGGACGUGAUCCUCUGGGUGCUGCCUUGUUCACCGUCAAAAGCCGUCCGUUUAGAUCCUAACCAAAAAAAAAAAAAUGAAAAGAUCAACUCAGAUGCUCAAUAAUGUUCUCACAAACAUAAUCAGAAGUUGCAGACAAAAAAAUCUCCAACUCAACUCAGCUGCCAAAAUGUCUCAGACACAACAUUUCAAUGCAAAUACAACAAAUGAGUAUGAGAUAAUGCAUCAAUCAAUAAAAUGCUUUCUUAGAGCAGAAAGAAUAAAACUUUGGUUGGAUUAAGAGCAGACAAUGCCACUUAUGACCCAAAACAAAAGGAUCAGUAUCACUCCAACUCCACCAAUACAUGCUAAUAGUUGAGAUAUGAUUGAUACACAUAUGAGAACUUACAUAACGGUUGAACUUCUCAACAGCAGUCUCAGCUUCUUCCACUGUACUCAUUGUCACAAAUCCAAACCCACGACUCUGGUCGGUUUCCCUAUUGUAUAUAACCUUCAACCAGUGAAGAACCCAAAGGAACAAGUUAGUAUUAGCAAACGCUAUCUCUUGAACUAUAAACAAAUGUGAGAACUCAACUAACAACAACAUCAACAGUACCAAUAUACUCAAAACCAAUAGAGUGUGAAAGUUCCAUCUAAUUCAUUUCAAAGAUGCUUCAAACAGUUAAAAGCCAAGAACUUUGACUUCAUCUCGUUCAUUUGACACAUAAAGGAUGCAAAUUGCAAUGCACAGAACAUACAAGAACGAAACCAAACUCACCUCGGCGAUUUCAACUGUACCGGCUUGCUCAAAGAGCAUAGCCAAGGCCUGGCUGUCAACGUCGUAAGCCAAGUUUCCGACGAAGAGCUUCGCUUCUUCCGGCGGCUCCGUAAAGUCGCCGCCUUCGCUCACGUCUCCUUCCCCUUCCGCAAACGUCGCUUCUGGCGGCUCGCUCUCCUCGACGGCGACCGAUGAUGAGCUCCCGUCUGCUUCCCCACCGUCUUGCUGAGACCAAUCCGAAGUCUCGGCAACUGAGGUGACGAAAGGCGACUUCUUUAGGUGGGUUUUGGUUUUGAGAGAGAGGGAGAAGCGGGAGAAUGAGAGCGGGAGGUUAGUGCGUUUGGUGAGGAGGGAGCAGCGAGUUCUGGAGGAAGAGAUAGUGGAGAAUGAAGGGUGAGAGAAGAUGGUGGAAGAGGAGGAUUCUGACAUGGCUAAUGGCCUCAAGCUCGAGGUUACUAUUGAAGAAGCCAUUGGAGAAUUGUGAGAGAAGAGAAGGAAGUGUUGAAAAAAGAAGAGGAAGGGAGGGUUUUAGAACGGUGAGGGAGAUAUGGAUAAGGAGGCCCAAGACAGCAAGAGAA